GAAAAAUCCGUUGUCCAGUUAUUAAUUAUGUGCGCCGGAGUGGCGAUUUUGAGGUGCUACCAGAAAUAAUCCAAAACUCUUCGCAAUGUACGAUUCGAGAGAAAAGGAUUUAUGAUGCUAACUGACCGCGAAGGUUCCGAAUCUCAUUUUAACCCGUGGCUACGCUACGUCCAGCAAAUAAAUCUGCGAAAUCAAAUCCGUUGUUUUCGCGAGGCCGAGCAAGUGGAGCAUGUUCCCGUAGUAGAAUCGCGAAGUUCGCAAAAAAAGACAAAGUCGAUCAGCCGGUGGCUCGUGUGCGAAAGGAUGGUGUUGCGAGCGGCGCGGAUGCACUCGGAAGAAUUUCAAGACGGACGCAGUCGCAUAGGCGGCGAUCGAUGCACCCUGCGAUUUUUCCGAGUGGCCCGAAACCGGGACAGAAUACGAAUAAACCGUAGCGCAGCCGGGGCGCUGCGCGGCGUGAUUGCGAAGGCGCGGAAUAUCGUUUCGGUAUAUCUAACGAGCGACGAUAAAAUCAGACAAUUUCACCAGGGAGAGCAGCAGCAGCAGCAGCGGCGGCGGCAUACCUGGCUCUCGCUAUCCGAGAAAAUCGAACGCGCUGCCGAGAAAACCAGCGGGAUAUCCCCUCGACUCUUAAAAUAUUCAUUCGAUUUGAUGCUGUUGACGCGUGGGAUCGACAGACGGUUAGAAAACAUCUCUCCUCGUUUCGACCCUCUUCCCCUAACCUCGGCUAACCCGGCCUCCGCGCCCCGGAAGUUACAUUCGUCAACUUUAACGCGGGCGCAUCCUUUUACGAUGGGAAAUCUCGAAUCCUGCGCGUCGAGAGACUCGGUCGAUUGAAUUUUUUAUCGAAUGCCGCGAUGAACGAGCCAACGUUGUGCCCAUUCGAAAAGAUUUUUUUCGGAGAAGAAUUGGAAAAAUCUGAUCGGGGAAACUGAGAAAUCAGGUUGUAAUGCGCGGACGCGUAAAAUAUAACCGGAGACGAAUAGACAGUUUUUCUUCCGUUUAAUAAUUUAGAUAACUGUAUGUCAGCGAAGGUGGGUCCGUUUCGACCCAUAUGUACACAGUAUGCUUGUUAACAGUAUACCAUCGAGGUGACACAUAUUAUGUGAAAAUAUAUAUUAUAUAAUAUAA